CCUCCUUUCUUCAUCAUUUUUUAAUAUUUUGCAAUGGGCGCAAGCCUGACCCAGCAACGCCGCGUGAAGGAAGAAGGCUUUCGGGUUGUAAACUUCUUUUGUCAGGGAAGAGUAGAAGACGGUACCUGACGAAUAAGCCACGGCUAACUACGUGCCAGCAGCCGCGGUAAUACGUAGGUGGCAAGCGUUGUCCGGAUUUACUGGGUGUAAAGGGCGUGUAGCCGGGUUGUAAAGUCAGAUGUGAAAUCCUGGGGCUUAACCGCGGAACUGCAUUUGAAACUGUUGAGCUUGAGUACGGGAGAGGCAGACGGAAUUCCUGGUGUAGCGGUGAAAUGCGUAGAUAUGAGGAGGAACACCAGUGGCGAAGGCGGUCUGCUGGACAGCAACUGACGGUGAGGCGCGAAAGCGUGGGGAGCAAACAGGAUUAGAUACCCCGGUAGUC
rnacentral:rRNA from 1 species